GGUGAGGAUAAGCCAUGCAAGUCGAAUGGGAUACCUAAAUUUCCCAUGGCAAACUGCUCAAUAACACAUGAUCAACUUACCCUAUAGAGAAGCAUAACCUCGGGAAACUGAGGAUAAUAUUUCAUAAUUGAAAAGGCUUGGAAAAGUUUUUCAAUGAAAGGGAUAAAGAAAAUGGUCUCUAUUCGCUAUAGGAUAGGAUCGUGGUCGAUUAUGGUAGUUGGUGAGGUAAAGGCUCACCAAGCCGAUAAUCGAUGGGGGCCGUGAGAGCGGGAGCCCCGAGAUGGGUACUGAGACAGCGACCCAGGCCUUACGAGGCGCAGCAGGCGCGAAACCUCCGCAAUACACGAAAGUGUGACGGGGUUACCCAAAGUGCUCUUUCAAGAGCUGUGAUAGGUGAGUAAUGUUCCCUAUUAGAAAGGAGAGGGCAAGGCUGGUGCCAGCCGCCGCGGUAAAACCAGCUCUUCAAGUGGUCGGGAUAAUUAUUGGGCUUAAAGUGUCCGUAGCCGGUUUAGUAAGUUCCUGGUAAAAUCGGGUAGCUUAACUAUCCGUAUGCUAGGAAUACUGCUAUACUAUAGGGCGGGAGAAGUCUGAGGUACUACAGGGGUAGGGGUGAAAUCUUAUAAUCCUUGUAGGACCACCAGUGGCGAAGGCGUCAGACUGGAACGCGCCUGACGGUGAGGGACGAAAGCCAGGGGAGCGAACCGGAUUAGAUACCCGGGUAGUCCUGGCUGUAAACGAUGCAUACUAGGUGAUGGUACGGCCAUGAGCCGUGUCAGUGCCGUAGGGAAACCGUUAAGUGUGCCGCCUGGGAAGUACGGUCGCAAGGCUAAAACUUAAAGGAAUUGGCGGGGGAGCACCACAAGGGGUGAAGCCUGCGGUUCAAUUGGAUUCAACGCCGGG
rnacentral:rRNA from 1 species